rnacentral:tRNA from 1 species
GGAGACGUGGCCGAGUGGUCGAAGGCGCUCCCCUGCUAAGGGAGUAGGCCCGGAAGGGCCUCGUGGGUUCGAAUCCCAUCGUCUCCGCCA